UACGGGGGGGGUAAGCGUUGUUCGGAAUUACUGGGCGUAAAGGGUGCGUAGGUGGUUUGUUAAGUCAGGGGUGAAAUCCCGCGGCCCAACCGUGGAACUGCCUUUGAUACUGGCGAACUUGAGUGCGUGAGGGGUAGGGGGAACGAGCAGUGUAGCGGUGAAAUGCGUAGAUAUUGCUCGGAAGGCCAGAGCCGAAGGGGCCCUACUGGUGCGUAACUGACACUGAGGCACGAAAGCGUGGGGAGCAAACAGG
rnacentral:rRNA from 1 species